rnacentral:rRNA from 1 species
UGAGGAAUCUUGCGCAAUGGGGGCAACCCUGACGCAGCAACGCCGCGUGAGUGAGGAAGGUCUUCGGAUUGUAAAGCUCUGUCAGAUGGAAAGAACCGCAUGGGGGUAAAUAGCCCUCAUGCCUGACGGUACCAUCAGAGGAAGCACCGGCUAACUCCGUGCCAGCAGCCGCGGUAAUACGGGGGGUGCAAGCGUUGUUCGGAAGUAUUGGGCGUAAAGAGCGUGUAGGCGGCCUGAUGUGUCAGAUGUGAAAGCCCUGGGCUCAACCCAGGAAGUGCAUUUGAAACUGUCAGGCUUGAGUAGGGGAGAGGGAAGUGGAAUUCCUGGUGUAGAGGUGAAAUUCGUAGAUAUCAGGAGGAACACCGGUGGCGAAGGCGACUUCCUGGCCCUAUACUGACGCUGAGACGCGAGAGCGUGGGUAGCAAACA